AAAGUCGUAACAAGGUUUCCGUAGGUGAACCUGCGGAAGGAUCAUUAUUGAUUUUUUAGCAUUACCUCUUUAGAGGUUUUGCUUUAUACGUAUUUAAAACCCCACUCUUUUUUAUAAAAAAAUAAUUAUCUUAUGAUAAAAUUAAGAUCACUUUCAACAACGGAUCUCUUGGUUCUC
rnacentral:misc_RNA from 1 species